rnacentral:lncRNA from 1 species
AACUCCGAAAAUUUUACUUUCACCGAGCUCGGUCCAAAACAAUGGUGUACGGCAUUUACGACCGUACAAAGCCUCGUAAGGUGCCAUCUUAAUACUUGAUUGAAAACUGUUAUUGUAAGCGAAUUCAAUCAAAGGUAAAUACCGCUCCCAUGAACCACUAAACUCGAGGAUGCAACAUCUCAACAUAUCCUCAAGUAUCUGAAUUAUCC